UCAGAACGAACGCUGGCGGCGUGCUUAACACAUGCAAGUCGAACGCGAAAGGGACUUCGGUCCUGAGUAAAGUGGCGCACGGGUGAGUAACGCGUAGAUAACCUGUCUUCAUGUCUGGAAUAAUACGCCGAAAGGGGUACUAAUACCGGAUAUUCUUGCUUUUCAUAAGUUAUGCAAGCAAAGGUGGCCUCUGCAUAUGCUACUGCAUGAAGAGGGGUCUGCGUACCAUUAGCUAGUAGGUGGGGUAAUGGCCUACCUAGGCGACGAUGGUUAGCGGGUCUGAGAGGAUGAUCCGCCACACUGGCACUGGAACACGGGCCAGACUCCUACGGGAGGCAGCAGUGAGGAAUAUUGCGCAAUGGGGGAAACCCUGACGCAGCGACGCCGCGUGAAGUGAGGAAGGCCUUCGGGUCGUAAAAGCUCUGUCAAGAGGAAAGAAGUGUACAAUGGCUAAUACCUGUUGUAUUUGACGGUACCUCUAAAGGAAGCACCGGCUAACUCCGUGCCAGCCGCUGC
rnacentral:rRNA from 1 species